AUAUAUAUGUACUAUUUGGGGAAAAGGUUUCACAGACCUACACAAGUGUACUACACUGGUGAUAAAAAUAAAAAAAUCCCGCGAGGCCAACCGCAACUUUCUUUGCGGGACAAAACGCAAAAGUGUGGUCGCUGACUGUGCAGAUUGCACUGUAUAAGUAAAAUAACAAGUGUCAAACCUCAAGUCGGCUUGUCCUUCUGUUCUGGGGCUAGUAAUUGGGGAUGAUGACUAUGGUAACUGCAAGCAACACUGCACGUGGAUGGACCUUGAGCAGCAGCAGCGGCAGGUUUAUGUUAGAGCUCAGGAACGCUACUCUCCCCGUCCAACUACACUUGCAUCAAGUUCAAGCCAACAAUGUUGUAGCCUCCGCUAAUGCAAAGCGAGCAAAUUUGUCUGCCUCAAGGAUCCAAAGAGUUGAGCUUCCGGUUUAUGAUGACACUUCCAAGGGCCGCCAAGCUUAUCAUAUUAGCCACUUUUUAAGCCACCCAUCUGGGAUCCAAGCAAUAUUAAACACUAGUGCCUUGCAAAACUUUCAGUAUCUUGACACCAAUGCAUACAGGUGCACACUUCCAAAACUUGCCUUCUUCAACUUUGAAGCAACACCUGUACUUGACUUGCGAGUGAUCCCCACAAAAGAGGAUUGCACCGUGGAGUUAGUUUCUUGCAAGUUCAAGGGUUCAAAAGUUGUGGAACGCCAAAAUGACUAUUUUUCAGCUUCUAUGAUAAAUCAUAUUACUUGGGACACAGAUAUUUCUGAACCAUUUUUGGAGGUUGAUGUCAAGUUGAAUCUAAGUCUUGAGCUGUACUCUAGUUCUAUCUGCCAAUAUGAAAAGUUUGGGCUAGAUCCAGCUUCUCGGCCACAGAGGAAGUAGACUACAUCGAAUACACCACUUGUUCAACUUGCACUUCUUCGGUUCAGUUUUAAUUGAAUUUCAAAGUAUUCAGGGUGUUGGUGUCACCAUGAUUUUGGGGCGUUUGACCAGAUACUUUUACUUCAUAAGUUAACCCUAUAUCCCAUUAAGUUGGGAUGGGGGGCUCAUAUGAGUCGAGUUAUAUUUUAAUUUCUGAAAGUUCGGUUCUGGUCAUAUUUUUGAGAGCAGCGGCAUGAUGAUACGAUUGUUUUCCUGUUUUAAACAUAUUUACACACGACCAUUUACUUCACUGCCAAUUUCAGCUGUUGAGCGUCCAGGAAAUCUGUAAGUAUUUUUGGUUUAAUAAAAUGAGGUUACUGGUGGGAUGGCGUAGUCUAUGGAUUUUUCCACAUAAUGCAUAGAUUAUGUAUUUAUCAACAACAUAGAUUGAGUAAUAUACAGCAAGAAAUGCAAAUGUUCAUUGCAGCAAUCACGCAGAUGCUAGGAUUAUGUGUAUGUAUGUGGACCGGAUGCACAUCAUCAAUUCAAAGAUGA